CCUACGGGAGGCAGCAGUGAGGAAUAUUGGUCAAUGGCCGGAAGGCUGAACCAGCCAAGCCGCGUGAGGGACGAAGGUGCAAAGCAUUGUAAACUUCUUUUGUCAGGGGACAAAAUCAGGCUCGAGAGCCUGACCGAGUGUACUUGAAGAAAAAGCAUCGGCUAACUCCGUGCCAGCAGCCGGGGUAAUACGGAGGAUGCGAGCGUUAUCCGGAUUGAUUGGGUUUAAAGGGUGCGUAGGCGGGCUGUUAAGUCAGCGGUAAAAGCCCGGGGCUCAACCCCGGCGAGCCGUUGAGACUGGCUGUCUUGAGAUGUCGAGAGGUAUGCGGAAUGCGCAGUGUAGCGGUGAAAUGCUUAGAUAUCGCGCAGAACUCCGAUUGCGAAGGCAGCAUACCGGCGGCGAUCUGACGCUGAGGCACGAAAGCGUGGGUAUCGAACAGGAUUAGAUACCCCAGUAGUC
rnacentral:rRNA from 1 species